rnacentral:rRNA from 1 species
GUAGGAGGCGAGCGUUAUCCGGAUUUACUGGGCGUAAAGCGCGUGUAGGCGGUUUCUUAAGUCGGACGUGAAAGCUCUCGGCUCAACUGGGAGAGGUCGUUCGAAACUAGGGAACUUGAGGGUGGUAGAGGAGAGUGGAAUUCCCGGUGUAGUGGUGAAAUGCGUAGAUAUCGGGAGGAACACCAGUGGCGAAGGCGGCUCUCUGGGCCACUCCUGACGCUAAGACGCGAAAGCUAGGGGAGAGAACGGGAUCAGAAACCCCGGUAUUCCUAGCUGUAAACGAUGUCAACUAGGUGUAGGGGGUAUCCCAACCCCCCCUGUGCUGUAGCUAACGCAUUAAGUUGACCGCCUGGGGACUACGGCCGCAAGGCUA